CUGGUUCAAAUCCAGGAUGGCCCAUUUGGGGGUAUAGCUCAGUUGGUAGAGCGUUGCCUUUGCAAGGCAAAUG
rnacentral:tRNA from 1 species